rnacentral:rRNA from 1 species
UACAGAGGUCUCAAGCGUUGUUCGGAUUCAUUGGGCGUAAAGGGUGCGUAGGCGGCGCGGUAAGUCGGGUGUGAAAUCUCGGAGCUUAACUCCGAAACUGCAUUCGAUACUGCCGUGCUUGAGGACUGGAGAGGAGACUGGAAUUUACGGUGUAGCGGUGAAAUGCGUAGAUAUCGUAAGGAAGACCAACGGCGAAAGCACUCUGCUGGGCCGACACUGACACUGAGAGACGAAAGCUAGGGGAGCGAAUGGG